GUUGGAAUGAAGAUUUGAAAGAAGCAGGUGGGAUCUUCAGAGAGGAGAACGCCUCUCUGGGGGGACUGCAGCAUGAAGGCUCUGAGAUGAGAGUGUGCUUGGAGUAGAGUUACUCCGAGAUCUCUCAGAUAAAAUGCCCGGACAGUAACAUCUUAAGAGGGAUUUCCCAGUUGUUACAUUUAUAACAGACUGACAGGUGAAAGCAGAAACAUGGAGAUGAGAUCAGAGACCUCUACAGCUAUCCAAGUAACCGAACACAGGUGCAGGGUCUCAAGGACCUCUCAGGCUGAGCUCUAAGUGACCCUGUGACAGCAGUUUUAGGACCCCAGGCAUGUGGAACCACACUUGAUCUAUGCAGUGCUGGAGAUUAAACCUAAGGUUGCACGUGGUGGGCAAGCAUUGUACCAAUCAAACUACACCCUCGGUGGAUUCGUUUUGAAGGAUAUCCCUGCUCACUAUGAAAAGCUUUGAGAGUUUCCUUCCUUGACUAAAGCUCUAGGAGUUUCUGGACCUUAGAAUUGAUGCUUUCGAAUUGGAGAGUCUUAAGCCCUGUGUCCUGGUGCACUUCCUGUGAGAUCUUCUGUGUCACUCUGGAGGAAAGCUGACACGAAAUGCCAUGGAUUUCAAAAGGCGUCUGAUUUCAGAGACACGAGGAUGUCAAAGAUGGGGAAGUCCUGUCUGUCUGUGUAACGCAGUGAUGUUAAGGGCUCGGUUGCUCAAGCAAGGAGCAGCUGGCUAUCUGGG
rnacentral:sRNA from 1 species